rnacentral:rRNA from 1 species
AGAUUGAACGCUGGCGGCAUGCCUUACACAUGCAAGUCGAACGGCAGCACGGGAGCAAUCCUGGUGGCGAGUGGCGAACGGGUGAGUAAUAUAUCGGAACGUGCCCAGUCGUGGGGGAUAACGCAGUGAAAGCUGUGCUAAUACCGCAUACGAUCUAUGGAUGAAAGCGGGGGACUCGCAAGAGCCUCGCGCGAUUGGAGCGGCCGAUAUCAGAUUAGCUAGUUGGUGGGGUAAAAGCCCACCAAGGCGACGAUCUGUAGCUGGUCUGAGAGGACGACCAGCCACACUGGAACUGAGACACGGUCAGACUCCGUACGGGAGCAGCAGU